rnacentral:rRNA from 1 species
AGUGAACGCUGGCGGUAGGCCUAACACAUGCAAGUCGAACGGCAGCACAGUAAGAGCUUGCUCUUACGGGUGGCGAGUGGCGGACGGGUGAGGAAUACAUCGGAAUCUACUUUUUCGUGGGGGAUAACGUAGGGAAACUUACGCUAAUACCGCAUACGACCUACGGGUGAAAGCAGGGGAUCUUCGGACCUUGCGCGAUUGAAUGAGCCGAUGUCGGAUUAGCUAGUUGGCGGGGUAAAGGCCCACCAAGGCGACGAUCCGUAGCUGGUAUGAGAGGAUGAUCAGCCACACUGGAACUGAGACACGGUCCAGACUCCUACGGGAGGCAGCAGUGGGGAAUAUUGGACAAUGGGCGAAAGCCUGAUCCAGCCAUACCGCGUGGGUGAAGAAGGCCUUCGGGUUGUAAAGCCCUUUUGUUGGGAAAGAAAAGCAGCAGGUUAAUACCCCGCUGUUCUGACGGUACCCAAAGAAUAAGCACCGGCUAACUUCGUG